rnacentral:lncRNA from 1 species
UCCUCAUCCACAUAACCAUGCAAGAAUGCAUUGUUGAUAUCAAGCUAAUGCAAAAGCCACUGUUUGGUAGUUGCUAGAGCAAUGAGCACCCUUACAGUAGUGAAUAUGACCACAGGACUGAAGGUACAUUUGUAGUCCUUGCUCUUAAUUUGUUUAUCACCCCUAGCCACCAGUCGAGCUUUUCACUUAUUUAGAGAUCUAUCAGGAUUAAACUUGGCCUUAUAGACCCAUUUACAACCAAUAACAGUCUUUCUGGGCAGUAAAGGCAACAAGUCCCAUGUGUGAUUCUUUUCUAAAGCCUGUAACUCAGACUCCACAGCAGCAAUCCAUUUUGCAUCAUUUAUAACCUGAUAAUAGGAUGUAGGCAGUAUCAAGUAAGUGUCUAUACUUUCUCUCAACACAACCAUUUUGUUGAGGAUUACCAAGCACACUCCUCUGAUGAACAAUUCCAAGAGAAGCAAACAAGGUCACACAAAUAUCUUGCACUAUUCAGUGCCAUUAUCACUCCUAACAGUUUUGACAUCAACUCCAAACUGUUUUGUGACAUAAGCAAGGAAAGCAGAUAUAAUCUGAGGUACUUGUGUCUUAGAGUGAAGCAAAGUAGUCUAAGUGUUUCUAGAAUGAUCAUCGAGAAUAGUGAGGAAAUAUGAAGCCCCGGAUAAGGAAGGAGUUUUGUGAGGACCCCAUUGAUCAAUGUGAAUUAACUCAAAACAACAAGAAGCCGUGGAAUUGAAAUCCUAGAAAGGCAACUUGUGAUGUUUUGCUAGCAUACAAGCUUCACAAUGAAAGUUUGAACAAAAUUUUGCAGAAGUCUUGUUAGACAGAUGCUAAAACUUCUGAACAGACAUGUGACCAAGUCUAGUAUGAAACAAUUUAAGAGAAAUCUCAGGUUGAGAAACAUGAUAAGCACUGGUAGACAAACUAGAAUUAGGAGUAAUUAUGAACUUAUAUAAUCCUCUAUGUCCAGUACCAGAGAGUUUAAUAACAAGAGAAUUCUUGUCUUUAAAAGAACAACAUGAUGGUUGAAAAUCAGCAGCCAAAUUAUGUUAAUCUAAAAGCCUUGCAACAGAAAGCAGAUUAUGCUUAAACUCAGGAAUGUGAAACACCUUGGACAGAGUAAUUUCAAAGUUUAGAGAAAUAGUACCAACAGUUUGAACCUUCUUAAUAGUACCAUCAGGCAAAGCAAUGUGAAGAGGUAAGCUGCUCAGUGCUGAGAAAAACACCCAGAGAUAAUGCCAUGUGAUCACUAACUCCUGUAUCAAUUACCCAAACUAAGCUAUAUGAAGUGAUAUUGACAGAAUUAGCUUGUGAAACAGACACAGUGUCUGCAAAAUUCACAAUAGAAUCUGCAGAAGAAUGUGAUGCAGAUUGAUUCAUCUGCAUAAAUCUGUAAAAUCCAUGAUGAGAAUUAUCAACUGGAAAGGAAGAAACCUGAAUAGGAAAAUCUAGUGGAGAUUUUUAAAUGUUUGCAGCAAAACUCUAAUUACUCUUAUUUCCAGAUGUGUUUGCAGUACUAUCAGCUGUCUUGCCCUUGUACUAAUCAGGAUACCCUACCGGUUUUAAACAUUGAUCCUUCAUGUGUCCUUUCAUCUUACGAUGCUCACAAAAUAUAUCAAGCUUAUUUUUCUUAAUAUCUUCGACAUCUUUCUUUGAAGAAAACCUGGAGUUCUGAAAAUUAUUGUUGCUAUUUGUCACAGACAUCAAGGCACUCAUUUCUAGUGACUGAGAAUAAGCCAAUACAUUUUGCCUUUCAAUCUCCGGCAGCAUAUGAUAUACUCGAUUUAUAGGAGACAAAGGAUCCAUACUCAAUAUGUUUAUCUUAGCUUGAUCAUAAGAUUUAUUCAAACCAGCAACAAAUUGAAUCAACUUAUUCGAUUGAUCUCUUUCAACAAUUUUCUUAAGAAAUCCACAAGAACAUUUAAGCAACACACCACAAGAACAUUCAGGCAAUGGCUCCAAAACAUGUAAUUGAUCCCAAACUUUCUUCAGCUUGUUAUAGUAUUGCACAAUUGAAUCAUCAUUCUAUGUAAUAGACAUGAGAUUCUUAUACAAAUCAUACAACUGAGUAGCAUUGGACUGACCGUACAUCAUUCUAUGUAAUAGACAUGAGAUUCUUAUACAAAUCAUACAACUGAGUAGCAUUGGACUGACUGUACAUUUCAGCAAUUUCAAGCAUAAAUCUCGUGUUGAAGGUGUAAAAAUGAAGCUCUUUAUAAUUGACUUGUCAAUUGAAUUAAGCAACCAGCUAGUCACCAUAUAAUCAUUCCUGACCCACUUUUGCAGAUCUUCAGAUUCAUCAGAUUGACGAGCAAGAGAUCCAUCUGUAAAACCGAGUUUAUUCCUGGCUCCAAGUGCCAGAGACACACUACGAUUCCAAUUGACAUAAUUGUUUCCAUUAAAUACAAAAUGACCUAACU